GUUGGCGUGUGGUUCGAUUUUUUUUCCUUUGUAUUAGGCAUUUUUUAUUAUCUGUACGGUUAACCUUUAUUUUCUAUUUUCUGAUUCCUUUCAUCACGACCAAACUUUACAAGUCCUUCCCUGGGGGCAGAACAUGGAUUUAAGAUGCAAUUCUUCAGAGGAAAAUAUUCCAGCUCCUAAGAAAUCACAGAAUCCCUCUGAUGGGUUAGGAGAGAGGUCGUUUAGUGUCACUGUUAAGAACACGGGCUCUGGAGCCAGACUCUUAGGUUUCUAUCCCAGCUCUGUCACAUGGGCAAGUCAUUUAAUUCUCUGUCUCAACUUCCUCACCUGUAAAAUGGAGAUAAUAAUAGUCCCCACUUGGUCGGGUUGUUGAGAAGGUUAAAUGGUCGCCUAAGUAUAUCUGAGUUUAUCUAAGCUCUUAUAGUGAAGCAGGAAGAUGAGAUGGGUAUCUCUCUGCUCUUGCCCAAAGCAGGCUACAGACGGGUUGGUUACUGGUUCUGCUCUAAGGACUGGCCUGCUGGACUCGCUGCGCUUCUCUGCCAGCUGUUCCCUCUUCCGCCUUCUGUUUGCUUUGAUCUGAGGUUGACAGACCACCUGGCCUGCUAAACUGGGAAGGUAAGCUCAUCCCAUCUGCCCGUUCACCUGCCAAGAGUCCAUCAUUGUGGUCUUUGUGUUUAUACGCCGAAGGGGGCAGCUGGGGGUGAAAACAGCCCAGCUUGUUUUGUCACUUGGUCUCCCCUGCCAUGACUGUUGCCCUGUAAUCCCCCUCCCCCAGGGCGGCUCAGACCCAGGAAUUUUAAUCAACCUGGAAUUAGAAACUUUGUUAACACCAGUGGCUGGAGAAAGGCCUGAGGGGGGAUUCAAAUGCCUGUGACUUUCAGGUGGGGGAGUCGAGCCCUCAGGAAGCCAGUCUGUGGGGGGUGAUGACAUCAUCUCAGCCACGCAAGCCCUGCAGAGAGAAGAGGGAGUCUCCCAGCUGUGGAGACGAGAAAACAAUGAUCUCCACGCGCCCCGCAGCCAGAGUGGAGUUCAAGUCCCUCAGCUUAAAAUCAAAUCUCCCCUUUGUUCCUAACUCUCCCCCACCACCCACAAAUGUCCUGCAACUGUCAUGGAGCGGCUACUACUAAUAAUAAUCACUGGCCUUGUGUUGGGCUUUGCAAACUGUUCUCACAUUCACUGCACCAGUGAAUCAAGCAAUCCUCUGUGAGGCCAGGGAGACAGGCAUUAUCGCUCCCAUUUUACAGAGGAAGUGACUGAGGCUGCAAAAGAUGAACAGAUGGGUACAAGCGUGGUCAAGUUGAGUCUCAAGCCAAGGGUUCUAUGUCUUAGCCUAAAGUGGUGGUUCUCGAGCUUUAGCACACUGGAAUCCCCUGGAGGGCUUGGUUAAAAGAAUUUGCUUUUCUAACAAAUGUCCAAGUGAUGCUGAUGCUGUGGGGUGGGGGUCCACGCUCUCAGAAUCUGUGGCCUAAAACUUUUGCCACUACAUCGUACCUCCUCAUUGUGUUAAUAAAGAAGCGUUUCCAGCAGCUAUGGAUGGACAGAUUUGGGUCUUUUCCAAAGAAUCUGUUAAUAGCAGCAUAUAUCUGAAACAUAAGGCAGGAGCAGCAGCCUCCAGCUGCUGGGUAUUUCCCACAGAAGGGAAGGAGCCUGGACGAGAGAGGCUGGGGUAACCCAGGGUUUUGGCUUGAGCGCAUGGGGUUAAUUCUGAAUCCCUUCCGGGCAGCCCACGUGACUGGGAAGGAGGAAGGUGGAAUGAUUGCUUAUAUACAGAACCAUCAAGGUCUUGACUGUGUUAAAACCCAAUCAUUACUUCCAGGUAGUGAUGCAUUUUAGGCAAUGUCUUCUGCUUAUGCUCAGCAAUGCAUGAGUCUCAGAGCGGUGGCCAGAGAAAUGGCGAAUCGUCGUAUAUUGAGCGAGUGAUAAUGGAAUCCAGGAGGUGGAAAUUACAAGUUGAAAAGUAAAAUCAAUGCCCUGACUGUGAAAUGACUGAAUGCCUGGUGAGGAACUGUGUCGAGGUGCACCCCCACUCCCCUUACUCCACACCGACCUUUAAGACGCUCACCAGUUCAGAAGUUCCUUGAGGGCAGGAAGCAUAUUUUAAUCACGGGUAAUCAUAGCAUAUCAGGGCAGAAAUGGGCCUUAGAGAGCUUCCAGCCCUGGAGUGGCAAAUCGGUUUCAUUUUGGUGCCAGCUACAAUCAUUUAGUGGUGGCUGCCUGAAGCGCUGGGCCGAGAAGUGUUCUGCGGGUCUCUGGGCUCCUUGAGGAGUCGGCCAUGAUCAAUUAGCGAUGUUUACCAUGGCCAGGGGAGUGGCAAGGAGGCAGCACUUUGCUCAGAUUACCCAACCCCUAUCUAGUCCAACCUGUCCCGCUGACAGAUGAGGAAAGAACUGCUAAGCAGCUCUGUGUCCCCACCCACACCCCAGCACAUUCUUGUCCCCUAGCAGCCAUCCACUUCCAGGGGUCUGUGCAUAGUAUUCAAGGGUCUAUGAACUUGAGUGGGAGAGACAUUUACAUCUUUGUUUCACUAAACUCUGAGAUCAAGCACUUCCUUCCAUGAUGAAUGUAGGCAACAAACUGUGGUAGCAACAGCAGCACCUGUGACUGUCACCAAUAGAAACCACAGCUAUCUUCCUAGCACAUCAGAGCUGCUGCUGCUGUCUCUAAAGAUCACUUACACCCCUCGCUAGUCACUGUGGUCUUUGUAUGAAAGGAUCGUAGUUAUUAGACCCAACACUAAAUCUUGUUACUUAAUGCAUUAAUAAAGAAACACACAUAUUACUGAUCCCGAAGUUGCUUCUUAAUAUUUGCAUAACUGCAUUUCAAUAGAGAAUUGGUUUCCUCUGUCAUACUAUUUUAUGCAAUUAAAUUCAUCAUCCUGAGAAGGGGUCCAUAGGCUUCACCAGAUGCCAGAGGGGUGCACAGCCCAGAAAUGGUUAAAAACCCCUGCCAAGGUUUGCUGAUAGCAGUGCAGUGUGCCAGGGCCCCUCCUGGCCUUGGCUUCAGUCAGAGAAGCGGCAGUGGGCAAUAUGGGCGGUCUUUGGUACCUUGUAUUCUUUGCUGUGAUUUGGCAGCAGCUGGCAGCUGAGGCAGUAAGAAUUGGCUGCUCUCCACUCUGGGGAGACAGCUGACCUCGGGGGCUCCCUGGGCUCAGAUGCCCAGACGGUGACAGCUCUGGCCCUGCACCAGGCCUCCCCGGUUUGGCCUUCCACAGCGAUGGUCAGUCCAGGUCACAGACACAGCAGCUCCAUGCUUGGCUCUCGCCUUCU
rnacentral:lncRNA from 10 species